GGAGGAGGCAAGCGUUGUCCGGAAUCAUUGGGCGUAAAGAGCGCGUAGGCUGUUUUUCAAGUCAUAUGUGAAAACCUCAGGCUUAACUUGAGGACUGCAUAUGAAACUGGGAAACUUGAGUGCAGUAGGGGAAAGUGGAAUUCCUGGUGUAGCGGUGAAAUGCGCAGAUAUCAGGAAGAACACCGGUAGCGAAGGCGGCUUUCUGGGCUGCUACUGACGCUGAGGCGCGAAAGCUAGGGGGGAGCAAACAGGAUUAGAUACCCUGGUAGUCCUAGCUGUAAACGAUGGACACUAGGUGUGGGAAGUUAUCGACGCUUUCCGUGCCGGAGCUAACGCAUUAAGUGUCCCCGCCUGGGAGUACGGUCGCAAGACUA
rnacentral:rRNA from 1 species